AUUGAACGCUGGCGGCAUGCUUUACACAUGCAAGUCGAACGGUAACAGGCCGCAAGGUGCUGACGAGUGGCGAACGGGUGAGUAAUGCAUCGGAACGUGCCCAGUCGUGGGGGAUAACGCAGCGAAAGCUGCGCUAAUACCGCAUACGAUCUAUGGAUGAAAGCGGGGGACCGUAAGGCCUCGCGCGAUUGGAGCGGCCGAUGUCAGAUUAGGUAGUUGGUGGGGUAAAGGCACACCAAGCCAACGAUCUGUAGCUGGUCUGAGAGGACGACCAGCCACACUGGGACUGAGACACGGCCCAGACUCCUACGGGAGGCAGCAGUGGGGAAUUUUGGACAAUGGGCGCAAGCCUGAUCCAGCAAUGCCGCGUGCAGGAAGAAGGCCUUCGGGUUGUAAACUGCUUUUGUACGGAACGAAAAGGCUCUGGUUAAUACCUGGGGCUCAUGACGGUACCUAAGAAGAAAGCACCGGCUAACUUCAUGCCAGCCGCCGCCGUAAAAC
rnacentral:rRNA from 1 species